AAGAGUGUUGGGAGAAGCGGCUGCUACAGAACGCAUCGCACGCUAUAUGCUCAUGGGUCUUCAGGUCAGGGAUGGGAGGCUCUUCUACAAGCUCAUGAUCGACAUCGAGGAGCUGCAUAUCCUUAUUUAUAGAGAUAAUUAUAAGUUUACGAGAAAUUUAGUGUGCUCUACAUCUAAUUUCAGAGGAAGUACAUGCACUGUAGCAGCAUGCAAGUGGGUUCAUGCCAUUGUACAUAGCAAGUUCCAGCUGCUGUAUAUCCUUACUUUCAGAGACAAUUUGUAGUUUCUGAGAAAUAUAUAUUUCAUAGCACGAGCACGUGACUAUGAGAGAUUAUUAGAACAGUAGUUCUACCUACUAUCACAUGUAUUUUUCCGUUGAUUGUACAAGUUUACAUGUACAUCUCUGAAUAAAGAAGAACCUUAUUACUGAAGUUAUAGAAACUGAGGUGGUGUUGCUCUAUAUAUACAGGCUAUUAUUUGCAUGCUUUUUCUGAAUAAGUGCAGUUUAAAAUGUGUUGAAAUCUAAGAGCAGACAGUUGCAUGUUCGACUUCCGUUGUGCAGUACCAUUUCUUGCAAAAUACUUUCAAUUAGAAUAGUUGUCGUGCAAUAUUUGCCUAGCUCUAAUACCAACCAUUCCUCACAAAAUACAUACAUCUUUUUUAGUGUCUGAAUUUUAUUAUCUGUUGGCGAUCAGUUUUUCCUACUGCAGUUCUUGGAUGUGCUAUCCUUCCUUCUCACUCUCAGGUUGUAGCAGUAAAUGGAUGGCAAGCAUCACGAAGCAGCUCAGCUCCAUCGCCUCCAGUGGCAGCAAGGUUUGCACCAUGACAUUUUUUCCUGUGAUUAAUUGAUCUUCAUACCAAGAAAAUCCUGUUCAAGGGAUAUCGUGCACUCUGAUUUUCAGUGCUUUUUAUGAGAAGAGGGUUGUCAAGUAAUUAAUUUUAUCUUUGAUGUGAACAACAAUAAUACUUUAGGGUUGAUCAAUGAUCAACACCUGUGUAAUAUGUAGCAUAAGUUGUGGCUCAUGGUAGUACAACAGUACCUGAGAUGGAAAGCCAAUCAUUAAGAUUUUUUUCGAAGACAAUCACUUAAG